rnacentral:rRNA from 1 species
CACGGGGGGAGCAAGCGUUGUUCGGAAUCACUGGGCGUAAAGGGCGUGUAGGCGGUCGAGUAAGUGGAAUGUGAAAUACUCCGGCUCACCCGGAGCACUGCAUCCCAAACUGCUCGGCUUGAGUAUGGGAGAGGACAAGGGAAUUCCUGGUGUAGCGGUGAAAUGCGUAGAUAUCAGGAGGAACACCUGUGGCGAAAGCGGCGCACUGGACCACAACUGACGCUGAGGCGCGAAAGCUAGGGGAGCAAACAGG